UCUGACAGCCAAGAUAAGAGAAUUUCAGAAACUGGGUAGAUAUUAGAUAGUUGUUCCUAUAGCUAAAAAACACAGGACAAGGCCCUUCUUGAAAUGGAGUUUGCAGUGCCCACUUUAUCAUUUGCCUCCUUUACUUCAAGUAAUUUACACAGGCUCUAAUCUCCUUCUUUAUCUUUAAUACUCCAUGUUCCUCAAGUUGUUCUAGCUGUUGCAUAUCUAUCUUUUCCCAUUAUCAUCUCUUUAACUUUAUAAUUACUGCAACUUAAUUGAGGUAGUUGUCGAGUGUGAUAAUAGUUAUGACAAAGUUAAUGGAAAAUGCCCAUUUAAAGAUUGGGACUUUGAAGCUUUAAAUGGAUGGUUGUUGCUUUAAUAUGUAUUUUCUUGAUCAUUUAGAUGUGGGUUUUUUUAUUCUGUGAAAUCACCAAAGCCAUUCAUAGUCAUCUUUAUGGAGGAAGGUCUUUGUUAUAAUGGUAGUUUUAAUUGAGAUAAGGAUGGUCAUUUGUAUAUGGCUUAUCACACCAAUUAGAGUAGUUGUGGGUUUUAAAGGGGACACUAGAAGUAAUGUUGAGUGCUUGAAUAAGGCUUCUGUAAUUUGAUGGGAAGAAUGAAUGCGUAAUAUCUUUCUUGGCCUGUUCAGUUAUAUAGAAUAUGGGUUCCUGGUUAAGCCUUAGAUUUCCUAAAUUAUUUAUAUUUUAUGCUCACUGGGGAUUCCUUUAUUUGUUGUGGGUGGUGGAUGGAAUCAUGAGAAGUGGCUUUAUUGCAUUUAUGUUGGUUCUUGAUGAGGUUUCUGCGAUUGAUCAAUGUAUGAAUAGUUUGUUAAACCACCUUUCUAAAUUGUGCUAUUGUUAAACCCUCACAUUUAUGAUUUAGUGUUAUGAAUUUGAUUUUGUAUAGAACUGGGCAAUUAUGAUUUGGAGUGUAUUGCAUACUUUGUUUAAGCUGCCAAAACUGUCUGUAGAGCUUUAUCUUUUACUCUGUUUAAGCCUUUGCUGGAAUAAGCUAACCAAAUCUAUUGCUUGCAAAUAUGGACACAUUAAUUCUAUAAUGAAUAUGGCUGGUUACCAAUUUCCUGGCUUUCAAAUCUGUUUUCAAUGGGCUAGAGCUAGAGUAGGUGUGAGGCUUCUAUUUGUCCACUUAGAGUUUGAUUUGUUGUGGAACUACUUAGUGUCAUUCAUUUCAGAACUUGCUUUGGGCUACCUAUUAGAAUGGUGAUGUAUCCCUUUAGAUAAGAAAUUAAGAAAUUCUGUAGUAAUUGAGUUUUCUAGAUCAGGUUUCCUUUUAGAAUGGUGAUACAGCUACAGAAGAAAAUUUCUUACACUCCUCUAUGUAAAUUACAGCAUAAACUGUCUUUAUACAGUUAAAACAGCAAAUUUAUCUAAUAGGCUUUUGAAUAUGUUGCCUCAAGGAUAAUAAAGUAUAAUAUAACAGAUUAUUGAAAAGCUCCCUCCAUUUUCUGCCCAAUUGUACUUAUUUGUUUCCUUGUGUAAUUCCAUGAUUUUAUGAAUACUUAAGCAUGCCUGGUAUACUGUAAUAGAGCAUAAUGGUGAUGAAAUAGAUUAUUGUUCUAUAGAAUAUUUAUUUCAGUACUGUUCCGUGUUGUAUCGAUCCUCUUGCUAAUUCAUUGUAGGGUUCUUGAGGUUAAGGGCUUUAUGUCUUUGACAAGCUUCAAUCUCAAUGUCUUUGGGCAAUUGGGUUAGGGUGUGUAACAGUAGAUUCUUUGGGCUUGUUCUGCCUAUUUCCAAGUUUUUUGUUCUUUAAAGAGUCCGAAACAUGAUACUUUUGACCUUUCAUGCUUUCCUAUGUGUUUCUUGCUAAGUUAUAUCUACUUUUGAAGUAAAUAUUUGUUUCUUUUUAAUAUCUUCCCUCUUGUUGAACUGUAAUCUAUGGUGACUGGUAAUGUUGUUGCAUUUUUUAGUCCUGUUAGUCCUGGGACAGUUUUUUUAGGCCAUGUUGAUUAUGAGUCUUAAUGCUAGAAGGACAAUUCUGCCGGUUACAUUUGUAAAAUUUAACUCUUUAACUUAAAGCACAUUAAGAGUGUAGGAUUUCAUUGGAAAGGGACCUUUUGUUGGUCACUUGAAAAUAAUCAUUUUGGAUUCUUAUUUGGAAUUCUUAGUGCUUGUGAGUUAUCUAACUUUUGACGUCGUGAAGCAAUUAGGAUGCCCAAGCCUGGAGUUCAUAAUAUACUGAAUCCCAUUGCGCAGUCUUCAGUUGAUAUUAAAUUACAAAAACAAAAGAGAAAAACAUGCUUAGUAUCUUCUGCUCUACCAGAAACAGCCGCUUCUGUGGCAAUUGCUGCCACAGUUGUGGGUGCAGCAGCUACACUUCUUGUGAGAAGAACCAAAGCUUCUAAGACAAAUGAGAUUCAAUUGAAAACAUGUGAAGAUUGUGGUGGUUCUGGUAUAUGUUCUGAAUGUAAUGGUGAGGGAUUUAUGCUUAAGAAACUGUCGGAAGAAAGUGCUGAGAGAGCAAGGUUGAAUGCAAAGAAUAUGGCCACAAGAUAUACAGCAGGGUACAUUCUAAGUCUCCCUUUCUCAUGUGCAUCCACACUCACACUUGGUUUGAAAUGCUCUUAUUCUUAAGAGGGAUCCAAUGAAAUUCAUUUGUUUUAGGCUUCCAAAAAAGUGGAGUUACUGUACAAAGUGCUCUUCUGCUAGAUCUUGUAGUACUUGUGGUGGCCGGGGAAAGUUAAGCUACUAGUUUUGCUCUAAUAAUGUUCUUGCCUCUAAUUGAGAUUGGCUCUCUAUGCUGCUCGGUGGCUCUCUAUGCUGCUCGGUUCAAAAUUAUGGAAAGGUAGAGUGAGCUUGCUAUUGAUGGUUGAAACUGGAAAUUUUCUUGUCGAGUUCAUUAGAUGAUUAAUAUAUAUAGUUUUAUUAAAUUUUACAUUUCAUCACAAUGUUGCAAAGUUUUAUCUAUCAUGUAAUGAGCAAAGAAAUAUAUUUUUUGACAUUGUAUUUUGCAUUUGCAAAGAUCAUAUGUAUGAAUUUUUUGGCUUUUAUUUUGGUAUCAUUAGCAUUCUGUAAAAACUAUUUUGUG
rnacentral:misc_RNA from 1 species